UGUGGGAGCGGGCUUGCUCGCGAAUGCGGUGGGUCAGUUAAUAAAUCGGUGACUGACACUCCGCAUUCGCGAGCAAGCCCGCUCCCACA
rnacentral:misc_RNA from 1 species